rnacentral:tRNA from 1 species
UAUUUUUAAUUGACAUAGACCAAGUCCUCUAGUAAAUGA